UGGGGGGGGGCACAAGGGGGGACUGGGGGGAAUCCCCACCCAGUCCCCCCUUGUGCCCCCCGCCUCCCCCACGAAA